AAAAGCGUCUAAAAAUAUAAAUACGUAUCCGUACCUAAAACCGACACAGGUGGGUGAGUCGAGUAGACUCAGGUGAACGAGUGAGAGAUCCUCAAGGAACUCGGCAAAAAAGCAUUCGUAAGUUCGCAAUAUGAAUUACCCCGAUGACAAUAUAGCAAUAUAUCGGACCUCGGGGUCGCAGCUAAAGUAUGCUUGGCGACUGUUUAUCAAAAACACAGCUCCCUGCAAACACGUAAGUGGAAGUAUAGGGGGUGACUCCUGACCAAUGCGAGAAGGUUAACGCUGGUGUUUCAAUGUAGCAAUAUGUUGGGGUGACCGGCCGAAGCCCUCGUCAAUGUCGGCCGUAACUAUAACGGUCCUAAGGUAAGUAGCGCUGCCUUAGUAAAAUCUAGCUAUAUGCUGGAAUAUCUGUAGUAUCCGGAGCUACUAUGGUAUAAUACGUCCAUAGAAAUAUGGUGAUUAUACAAAGUAACAAAGCGACCGGUGCAGACAAUCAGCAGGAAAGACUCAAAUUUGCCUAUUGGACCACAGGCUUUACCGAUGGAGAAGGAUGUUUCUCUGUUGCCGUCAUAAACAAUAAAACCACUAAAUUUGGAAAACAAAUUUUUCCGGAAUUUGUAGUUACUCAAGGCGAGAAAAGUUUAUCGGCAUUGAAGAAAAUAAAUAAAUUUUUCGGUUGCGGGAAUAUUUUUGUAAAUAAACGAUACGAUAAUCACAAUGAGAAUCUAUAUCGUUAUUGUGUCCGCUCUUUACAAGAGCUGGAUUCAAAAAUAAUUCCGUUUUUCGAAAAAUAUCCGCUCCAAACGUAUAAGCAAAACGAUUUUCUUAUUUUUAAGAAAGUUAUUAAAGUAAUGAUCCAAAAAGAACAUUUAACUAAAAGCGGCAGAAAUAAAAUUCUAAAACUUAUUAGUAAAAUGAACAGGAAAAAGAAACGAAUUUGAGAAUCCUCAGAGACUACACGCUAGAGUCCCGCCCACGUUGUAUUUCAAUGAAGGCGGGACAAGAUAUAGUCCGAUCUUCAUGGCGACAUGAAGGAUUCUCGAUUAAGGAAUAUCGGGAUAAUAAAUCAGAUAAGCGCAAUUCCUUGUCAGGUGAGUUCUGACGCGCACGAAAGGAGCAACGACUGAGCAACUGUCUCGAGGAUUCGCUCGGUGAAAAUGCGAUACCGGUGAAGAUGCCGGUUAGGCACAGAUAGACGAAAAGACCCCAGAAGCUUUACUGCAAGUUGUUAUUGGCUUUACGUUUUUACUACGUAGCGUAGUGGUGAGGAUUUGAAGUGUCGCUCUCGGGUGGCAUGGAUCCGACGAUGAAACAGCCAUUUUUAAAGAUGUAAAAUCUAACCUGUUGAGAUUAAACUCAAUGGGGACAGUAGCUGCCGGGCAGUUUGUGUGGGGCGCAAUCCUCCUAAAAAGUAACGGAGGAGUUUAUUAAGGUCAGCUAGGCGCGGAUGGACAUCGCGCUAGUCGUGUAAUAGCAAAAGCUGGCUUAACUGCAAGACGGGCAUGUCGCGCAGUUGCGAAAGCAGAAUAUAGUGAACCGACCGUAGGCACUCGAUGCCGCGGAAGAUUAACGGAUAAAAGCUACUCUGGGGAUAACAGGCUAGUUCCGUCCAAGAGUCCAUAUCGACGACGGAGUUCGGCACCUCGAUGUCGGCUCAACUUAUCCUGGGGGUGGAGAAGCUCCCAAGGGUUUGGCUGUUCGCCAAUUAAAAAGUUACGUGAGCUGGGUUCAAACCGUUCAGAAUCUAAAAAGAUUUGGGUUUUGAACAUGUUUGAAUCCCGAGGUAUAGAAAACGACAUAUCACGGCGACCCUUAUUAGUGAUAAUAAGGUGUAUUAAUCGACUUAUAUCGGUGAAGUCCAUUUGUGGUAGACCAAGCCACAUGUUAGGAUAAUACCGAGGGAAGUUUUAAUUAAUUUUUAUGGAACAAGAAAAAAUGCCUUUUUCAGAGGCAGAUGAGAUAUUAAAAAGAGUUGAGCGAGAAACGCGAUUAAAGUGGCUAGAAUCGCAGGUAUCAUUAUCUCCCGACGAACUCGAAGAAUUUAAUGAUCUCAAAAAAGAAUUAAGCGAGCCUGAAAAUAAAGAUUAAUAACACCCGUAGAGACUGAACGUCGAUACUCUCUAAAUUUUAGAGAAUAAGUUACAGUCCAAUGCACGCAGUAAUGCGUGGAAACAUGCGUGAGACAGGUUGGUCUCCUAUCUACUGUGCCCGUUGAUUUUUGAGGGGAGUUCUCCCUAGUAAAUUUUGCUACUUCAGAGAGUAAUCUCUGAUGACAAUUUGGCUAAUAACGGUGGAACCUUCAUAAAUUUUCUGGUUGUAUUUAUCCACAGCCCAUAGGUCCGGGGUGUGGUAUCAUGAAGUUACUUGAGGACCAGAAAAUUUUUAAGGCAAUACCGUGGGAAGUCGAUCUAAAACUAAAAAGAACAAAUUAAAUUACGCUUACAUUGCCGGAUUUCUAGAUGGCGAUGGAAGUUUAAUGCUGCAGAUUAAAAAACGCAGCGAUUCAAAAAAAGGUUGGCGAUUUAUGUCCACUAUCUGUUUUUAUCAGGAUAGCAGGCACGAUACGCCGCUUUCAUGGAUUCGUAAGCGUUUGGGAAUUGGAUAUUUGUCCAGGCGAAACGAUGGAAUGACGGAAUUGCGGAUAAAUGGUUAUCAGCAAGUUCACGGAAUUCUUAAAGUUUUGUUUCCAUUUAUUCAAUUCAAGAAAAAUCAGGCAGAAGCGCUUUUGAAAGCAUCGGCUCUGCUUGCUAAAAAAUCUUUAGUUGAGUUUUCGCUUGAAGAACGGCAGAAAUUAUUAGAUUGGAUUUUAAUUAUUCAAUCAAACAAUUAUGCCAGCCGGACGAAAACGACUAAAGAAACUUUGCAGAAAGUUUUAGAUUUGACCCCGUAACGACUUGUGUCCCGCCAUUUGGCGCGGACCGGACUCAUAUAAAUUGGAAAGCCGUGCAAUUUGCCGGCAGGUUUAUAUGGGUAAUACGCCGACACCCGAAAUAUAUCGGGUGAAGAUAUAGUCUGUGCUCCUAGAAAUAGGGGGUAUACAUGACGAGAGGACCGGGAGGAGUUGACCUCUGGUCUACGAGCUCUGCCGCCAGGUGGAUCGCUCGGUAGCUAUGUCGAUAAGUGAUAAGCGCUGAAAGCAUCUAAGCGCGAAGCACGCCCCAAGAUUAGAAAUCGUUAUCAGACUCGUGGAAGAUGACCACGUUGAUAGGCUCUAGGUGUAAGCAUCGUAAGGUGUUCAGCCGAGGAGUACUAAUGUUCGAAUUGCUUUUUACG
rnacentral:rRNA from 1 species